CAGGAUGAACGCUGGCGGCGUGCCUAACACAUGCAAGUCGAACGGAGUUACUUUGGUGAAGUUUUCGGAUGGAUCUGAUUUAACUUAGUGGCGGACGGGUGAGUAAUGCGUGAGCAACCUGCCCUUCAGAGGGGGACAACAGUUGGAAACGACUGCUAAUACCGCAUAAUGUAUCCGGGAGGCAUCUCCUGGAUACCAAAGGAGAAAUCCGCUGAUGGAUGGGCUCACGUCUGAUUAGCUAGUUGGUGAGGUAACGGCUCACCAAGGCUGCGAUCAGUAGCCGGACUGAGAGGUUGAACGGCCACAUUGGGACUGAGAUACGGCCCAGACUCCUACGGGAGGCAGCAGUGGGGAAUUUUGCGCAAUGGGGGAAACCCUGACGCAGCAACGCCGCGUGCGGGACGACGGCCUUCGGGUUGUAAACCGCUUUCAGCAGGGAAGAAAUUCGACGGUACCUGCAGAAGAAGCUCCGGCUAACUACGUGCCAGCAGCCGCGGUAAUACGUAGGGAGCGAGCGUUAUCCGGAUUCAUUGGGCGUAAAGAGCGCGUAGGCGGCCUCUCAAGCGGGAUCUCUAAUCCGAGGGCUCAACCCCCGGCCGGAUCCCGAACUGGGAGGCUCGAGUUCGGUAGAGGCAGGCGGAAUUCCCGGUGUAGCGGUGGAAUGCGCAGAUAUCGGGAAGAACACCGAUGGCGAAGGCAGCCUGCUGGGCCGCAACUGACGCUGAGGCGCGAAAGCUAGGGGAGCGAACAGGAUUAGAUACCCUGGUAGUCCUAGCCGUAAACGAUGGAUACUAGGUGUGGGGGGCUCCGCCCUCCGUGCCGCAGCCAACGCAUUAAGUAUCCCGCCUGGGGAGUACGGCCGCAAGGCUAAAACUCAAAGGAAUUGACGGGGGCCCGCACAAGCAGCGGAGCAUGUGGCUUAAUUCGAAGCAACGCGAAGAACCUUACCAGGGCUUGACAUGGACGUGAAGCCGGGGAAACCCGGUGGCCG
rnacentral:rRNA from 1 species